rnacentral:lncRNA from 1 species
UUUGUGAGUACACCAGUGAAAACAGUACCCAUUAUUCAAAACAUCCUCGUGCCAUUAAGAAGAUGCAUCUGUUGGAAAGUCCAAGGACUUAAAAAGACCUGAAAAAGAAGGAGAGGAUGCCUUCUGGGGAAGAAGGAGACUCUCAAAAGCACAGCAGCAAGGUUCAGCUACCCAAGACUUUCAGAUCUCAGAAGGCGUCUUGAAAAAUCAUCCUGAUCUUACUUGGUUCACGACUGCAUGCAAACACCUUUAAAAAGAAGGCUUAAAGCUGCCAGCAAGAACAACGCCGAGAUUCUCUGGACCUGGAGCAAGGGAGAAGCCCCAGCGAACCAUCAAACUUGUCCUAGGAGCCAAUGGAUAUUCCUCUUCUGCUGCAGCUUUUUGUACAGCUUGAGUUGCUUCUCACAGCACCACGGCUGGCAGUGUAAAAGAAGGACAUUGUUUUCGGUGCCACUGACACCGGGAAAUGGGACACCGAGAGGGGUCUGGAGACAGAUUGGAUCUUCCCCAGAGGUGCUUGGCCUGGACCCAUUUUUUAACUCUAAAAAGUGAAAUGAAUA